rnacentral:lncRNA from 1 species
ACGGAAUGAGUUGCUCCUGCAGUCAAGCUUCGUAGGACUACACUUGAUGCGAGGUUUUGAGCCUCGACCGACAUAGAACUCAAAAGUGUUGUUGCCAUGUGAAAUAGACACUCCAGCAGGAGAGUGGACUACUCCACCGAUCAAUCCAAAGCAAAGGUCGGGACGAUGUAACACAUAGCGACAACACUUUUGAGAGGAGUAGGGUGAGCAGAACUGCACCAGAUGCCGUACACUUGAGUGGCAAAGGAUCAAGACAAUCA